rnacentral:lncRNA from 1 species
GGGUCGCCGCCCACGCGCGCUUGGUUCAGGGAGCCCAGGCUGUCCCUACCCGCGGCUACAAAAGCUCGCCGAGUCUUCCUGUCCACCCAAUCGCCCCACAUGUCAGCGGUUGGUCGCCUCGCGGUGCAGUGCUGGGCACGCGAGCCCCUCCCGCAGUCAUUCUCAGCACAAGCACCAGCCUGGAGCCCCGCAGCGACAGAGCUGAGAGCCCCCAAGCCGCAGAGGUCGUGCGGAGCAGGCCUAAGGCAAUAGCUAAUUGAGACUAUGCAUCACUAUUAAGGCAUCUUCACUAAAGGGCGCUGUGGAAACGCUGCCUGAGAUGCAGACACCUGUCAGAAGGGGGCUAAAUUUCAAACAAGGAACGUGGUGUUGCAUCACAAUAAAAACAGAAGAAACACACGUGUUCUUGUGUGUAAACCCAGUCCAUGGAAGAGACCGUCUGCUUGUCCCUCCUGAUCUCUGGGCCCAGACAACCAGUAGUCACCAUUCCAAGUGAGGGGUGGCUGCAACUCUACAGCCCCGUUCGUCUCUCCUCACUGUCAAAGCUGCUGAGACCCCAGACUCGACACUUGAAAGAAACCCAUGUCUGUGAAGCACUUGUGGACCAUUCAAGAUUGUGGAAGAAUCACUCAAGAGAAGGAGAUAGGUGAUGGGAUCUAGCUUCUGAUGGUUUCUAUUUUAUUGAAUGUCUAAUAGGGCAAGAAUUUGAAAAACGAGAAUGUUUGCCAUGCAGGAGGACCUGGGAAGGAGAUAACACAUUUACAGGGAGAAAGAUUGGGAUUCAGUUGGGAGGAGUAACUGAGGAAAGGGGUCACUCAAAAUAUUUUGUAUUUUAGGUCCUUUUUCUAUUAAGGAGGAAUGGAUUAUCAAAGCCUUAACAUUAAAUU